GCGGGGCCCUCUUAGGCGCGGGGCCCGAUUCGGGGGAAUUGGUGGAAUUGGCCUAAAGCCGGCCCUGCUUUGCAGUAAGUCCUAUGGCCCAGAUUCCAUUGAAAUCAAUGGGCGAUAGGUGGGUUCUGGGCCAUUGUCUGGCGUUAGCUCCACAGCCUGGCACAUCCAACCAAUGCUGAUACAUCGUUUUUGUCUCAGAUCAGUUGUUUAUCUGCCAUUGUUCAGAAUUCAGUUAUACCAUCCAAGCCUUAAGGGCUGUGAACUACUGUAGGCUUGUCUGUGCCUCUCCCACCGAUUUAUACUUGCAGUAGCAGUAGGAGGUAAGGAAGCACUAUUGCUUUCAUUUUACACAUGGGAAACUGAGGCACGGCAAGGCAACAUGACUUGUUCAAAGUCACACAGUGAAUCAGUGACAGAGGUGGGAACAGAACGUAAGAAUUCUGACUCCCAGGCCUGAUCAAACCACUCGAGCAAGUGAGGUUUUAGCCCGGCAAAUAGGAAACCCUGUUUUAUAUAACUUGCUUUAGCUUUAGAAAAGGAAAGGUUAAAAAAACCUGGGUAUGUUUAGUCUUGAGAAAAGAAGACUGAGGGCGGACCCUCAUAAGAGAUUUCAAAUAUAUUUUACGGGCUGUGAUCAAUUGUUCACAUGUCCACUGAGGGCAGGACAAGAAAGAAUGGGCUUAAUUGCAGCAAGAGAUAUUUAGGUUAGAUUUAGGACAAACUUUCUAACUAUAAAGAUAGUUACGCUCUGGAAUAGGCUUCCAAGGGAGGUUGAGGAAUCCUCUCAUUGGAGGAUUUUAAGAACAGGAGGGACAAACACUCGUUUACUUGGUCCUGCCUCAGCGCCAGGUUCUGGACUUGAUGACUUCUCGAGGUCCCUUCCAGCCCGACAUUUCUGUGAUUCUAUGAAACGAUCCUCCCCAAAGCCCUAAGCAUACGUACAAUACAAUUCAAAACCACAUUUAAAAAAAAUUCAGUCCAGCCACUGCCUACAUCCCCUAGCCUUUUCUGAUUAUUCCCAUAUCCAGCAAUUACCCUUUUCAGCUUACUGUGUCUCCCUGCAAACAACUCUAAAUACACCAAGAGGUUGACAAAUAAAAUUCUGUUGUACAGGGAAAAAACAUCAUGGUCUGCUCAUUGUGUGAGCCUUGUGUUGCAACAGGAUGCACAAGGGGAAAGUGACCGAUUACCUCCUAAAACACACAGCAAAGUAACUGCAGGCUGAGCCCAGAUGUUCAUGUGUUCCCAGAGCUCAGAUGCCAGUGCUGUCCGGAAAUAGCUGUGAGCUGGGUUAGAGAGCAUUCUGGGUAACAGGCAUGCAAAUGAGUACCCAGUGCAUCCCAUUUUCCUUUGAAAUUCCUGUCCCUGGCAUUGCUGCUUGCAAGCAGCCUUUGAACUGGAGUCAAAUUCAGCAUAUUCAACAGACAUGCUUCGAGGGCCUUUUGGGAGUCCUCACUUCCAUCAUCAGUGAGGUUGGCUCCUGGCUUUUGGGGUAUAUAUGGUACAGCUAUGCGCACAAUGGUAAUCUUGCAAGCAGAUGACAGGUUAUGUGGAUUCCUGGCAUUAUCGGAGACGAACUGAAAGACUGUAGUCACUGCUAUCUCCAGUCCAGCAUGCAAAUGCUCAGCACGGCAAGACUUGCUGACAUUGAUCAACGCUCUUCUUUUUUUUUUUUUUAAGGGUUUUUAAUUAACAUCCUGUUUCAAUAAUGAGUUUUAAGCACCACAUGAUUCCAGGAAGGAGGUCAAGCUUGCCGUGAGGAUGUCAGAAUAAAUUAAGUUAGGAAUUAGGAAGAGGUCCAAGGGGCGGAGGGAGAUCUUGCUGUGGAGAAUGGUUCACGGCCACUGCAGUUGUCAAUUCUGCUACCAAAUUGGUAGGGGCCAGUCACCCUAAGCAGCCGGGGCAGCACAUAGUCAGUGUUUGUCUAUAUUAUUCUGCACAUUUCAGUUCAGUUUCUUGUCUUGCUGGUUGUAGGUCCCCAUUAAACUGCAGGGUUGAUAGAUCUCCUUCCAGUUCAGGCAGGUUCUGUGGUCUCGAUCCCGCCACAACUUACACACAGCAGCGAGGCUACUCACGUGUGUCGAGUUGAACACAUGUGUAAAUCUUUGCAAGAUUGAGGCCCAUGUGAGCUUCUCACAUGUGGGGCUAGAUUGUCCUCUGCACCAGCUAUUAUCAAUCAGGCGUAAUGCCACCAAAGGCGGGGGCAUGAGGUAUAAUGGCGAAAGGGAGAGGAGAAUCAGGCCAUCCUCUUUAGAAAAUUCUAUUUAGCAUCUUUACUUUGUAUCAGAAGGGGCUAGAAUCUCUCUACAGCCGCAGUGUCAGACCUUUGGAGCACCAUGGUGAAGGUAAGGAGCAUACUGGAAGGACGGAAGCCCAAUUGGCAGUGGCCAAUUUCCAUAUACAUCUAGAUAAUUUCAGAAAUAAAUGCACAAAGGUAAUAUUAUUUACUGAGCACCUCGCCUGGUUGCUUACGCUUGUGUCUUCCCUGACAGACGAUGAGAGAAAUUGCUUGGUUGAGUACAACAGAAACAAAAACCACGCAGCUGCUGAGGUUUGUGUUCAUACAGCAGUAUGUGCGAGAGAGAGAGAGAAAGAAAGGGGAGGUACCUUUAUCAAUUGGGGAAAAGUCUGGGUUCCCACAGACAAUACAGCAAAUGCAUAUAGACCAUGGACCAAAUUCAGUACACACUCUGGUCUAAAUACAGUGUAACUCCACUUACACCAGUGCAAAGUGAACGCAGAAAGUGUGUCGCUUAUCUAUAUUUUCCUUUUCACAUAGACACGAAACUCUUCCACUUUCGGAACUGUUUUGGUUCAGUCACAACAACCUGAGAAAACACGAGUGACCUUAACCAAGGAUGAGGACAAGGCUGAGGCUAAUCAGAUACAAAGUGCUGGCUCUGGGGCAGAAAUGCAGGGAUAAAUGGCUUCAAGGAAUCUGUGCUGUUGGAUGGGCCUACUUCUACCAGCCGUGAGCGAAGGCAGGACCAGCUGAGGGUCGAAGGUCAAACGCAGCCCGAAGAAAGGCACGGCUGUGUGCCAGUGCCGAUGCCAAUGGGACGCUCUGUAGAGACAAGAGAUGGUUAUUGCCAUCUGCAAAAGCUGGCGAGCCCACCAGUGCAGCGUCUCCUGACGAUCUUCGGGGGCAGGAGUUCACUACUGGCUCAGAGGCCAAAGUGACACCACUUCCCGCAACACAGAGGUUUCCUUUGUCGUCUCCAGUCCAGCUACUGACCUGACCAGACCUGAUGCGCGACCGGCUGAGAUCACAGCCAGAGGUGGUAUGGCUGAGGGGCUACAACCAACAUCCACGGGGAGUGCCACAGCUUUCACGCUUUCCUCUUUAUCUUACUAUUUCUUCCCGAGAUGCUCUGUAGCACCAAUGUGCAGCAACGGGGCUCCCUAAUUGAUUCCCGGAGGGAUUUGCAGGCAUUUCUGCCCUACAGCAGAUUGUCCCUUCACUUCUAAAUGCUGUGAUCACCAAAGGCAACUCGCGCUCACUCUCAUAUUCUGCCCAUCAACUUCCCCCCUUCUCUUCCAAUCCUUGCAAACAACCUCCUCCUCUCCUGGUGCAACCUCAGUGACAUCUCCCUGUACGUUAAAUGAAGAUGCAUGAGCAACAAUGAGAUAGACGUCCUGCCCAGCACAAUACCUACAUCAUCAUCGGGGGCAGAGCCAACCGGGGCAGCAGCUGUCUGAAGAUGACGGCUCAGGGAUGGAUGAUAUUUUUGCUCCGAAGACCCCCAGGCCUAAGAGAUCUGGGAAGGAAGAACUCCUGCCCUCCGACCCCCAGUAAAAGAUUUGAGGUGGGGCAGACUAUGGAAGGAAGGACAAGGGUAACAGUAACAACGGCCCAUGGUUAUUUAGGCCAGUUACAUGCAGAACCAGACUCUGCCGCCCUUAGUGAGGUUGGGUACCGCCUCACUCUGCACAUUGCUCCCCAGAGAGCAAGGUACCAUCUAGCGUAAGUCAGGGUGGCUUUAGGGAGGCUAAACAAAACGUCCCCUUGGAGACAAUCAGAACGACAUAGAAUCAUAGAAUCAUAGAAUCUCAUGGUUGGAAGGGACCUCAAGAGGUCAUCUAGUCCCACACCCCUGCUCAAAGCAGGACCAAUUCCCGACUGACCAACAGCAUCAAACCCUGACGCCUCCGUGCCCUGCAGCUAAACCUGUUGCUUUCCGCCGAGCUGUUUUUGAGGCAGUCAUAAAGCAUCUGGAGGAGGAAGAAAAAUGCAAGAACAAACAGGAAUGAAAUAUUCCUCUCUCCGGUGGGUUUGUAGCCCUGGUGAAAUAUAGUCGAGACAAAGCAUAAAAGUCCCAUUUCCAACUCUAUAAUAUUUCCUGCCAAAACCAACUAAAACGUGCUGCUCUAAAUUUUCUGCAAAAUUCUUCUGAGGUUAUUUUUCCCUUAAAUUAAGCCAUACUAAUUAUUUUCAGCCGGCUUUAUCUCCACUCUGCAACACACCAGGAGGGUGCAGGCGGCAAGCAUUUUAAGCCUCCAUAAACAAAAGAGUAGUUUGGAAAAUAAUUCUAUCAAUUAAUCAAAUUAAUCCUGCAGUUUUAGUUACAAGCCCCAAGUGGCAGGGAUUCUAGCCUGCGGUUAUGAGCUAUCUCUCAUUGACAGCGUUUAAAUGUUAUGAUUGCAACAGUAAUUAAAGAAUAUA